GUACCUCCCUGAAGACCUGGUUAUUUCUGUUGCCAGACACAUGAAUUCCAUGGAGGAUUUGUUUAACUUUGCUUCAGCUUGUAGAUCACCGAGAUCAAUCAUCAAGGGCAAGGAAAACUUCAAACCGAUUAUCACAAUUCACAACUGCGAGGACGAACAAUAGAAAUAGAAUCUGAAAGUUCACUGAUACACUUAUCCGGAAGACUAAGAGAAUCGCCGUCCUAUUAGCGAGAUAUCAAUUGGUGAGGUUUUUUUUUUCUUUUUUAAUUUUUUUUGGGAAGAUAAGGUUGACUGUAAUGAGGUUUUGAUCGAUGUUGGGAUCAAAAUCGUAGUAAACAAAGUAAAACCUUUGUGAAAGAAUCGUUUUAAACCCUGAUCGAUGUUGUGAAAUAGGCAUUGAUCGUGGUAGGAAUUUGUUCACUAUAGAUAAUCUUAUGCCGUAGAGCCAAAGUUGAGUUUAUCAGCAAAUCUGCAGGUGUAAACACAAACAUAAAAUCACCCAAUCUUCUGCUGUUGA